rnacentral:rRNA from 1 species
UAGGGAAUCUUCGGCAAUGGGGGGAACCCUGACCGAGCAACGCCGCGUGAGUGAAGAAGGUUUUCGGAUCGUAAAGCUCUGUUGUUAAGGAAGAACGAGUGUGAGAAUGGAAAGUUCAUGCUGUGACGGUACUUAACCAGAAAGGGACGGCUAACUACGUGCCAGCAGCCGCGGUAAUACGUAGGUCCCGAGCGUUGUCCGGAUUUAUUGGGCGUAAAGCGAGCGCAGGCGGUUAGAUAAGUCUGAAGUUAAAGGCAGUGGCUCAACCAUUGUAGGCUUUGGAAACUGUUUAACUUGAGUGCAGAAGUGGAGAGUGGAAUUCCAUGUGUAGCGGUGAAAUGCGUAGAUAUAUGGAGGAACACCGGUGGCGAAAGCGGCUCUCUGGUCUGUAACUGACGCUGAGGCUCGAAAGCGUGGGGAGCGAACAGG